CUGUGGGGCGGGACGAAUAAGUGCAGCCCAAUACGCUGCAUGAUGACGGUACCGCCUUAGCAAGCACCGGCUAACUCUGUGC
rnacentral:rRNA from 1 species